rnacentral:rRNA from 1 species
CGCGUAGGCGGUCUUGUAAGUCCCGUGUGAAAUCCCUCGGCUCAACUGAGGAACUGCACGGGAAACUGCUUGGCUAGAGUUCGGGAGAGGGACGUGGAAUUCCGGGUGUAGCGGUGAAAUGCGUAGAUAUCCGGAGGAACACCGGUGGCGAAGGCGGCGUCCUGGACCGACACUGACGCUGAGGCGCGAAAGCUAGGGGAGCAAACGGGAUUAGAUACCCCGGUAGUCCUAGCUGUAAACGAUGAGUGCUGGGUGUAGGGGGUCUUAACCCCCCCUGUGCCGAAGCUAACGCAUUAAGCACUCCGCCUGGGGAGUACGGUCGCAAGGCUGAA